rnacentral:rRNA from 1 species
GGAGCAGCCUGCCAGUGACAAUAGUUUACGGCCGCGGGAUUUUGACCGUGCAAAGGUAGCGCAAUCACUCGUCCUUUAAAGAGGGGCCUGUAUGAAUGGCCAAACGAGGGCUUAACUGUCUCCCCAAUCGGGUCAGUGAAAUUGAUCUAUCCGUGCAGAAGCGGAUAUAAUAAUACAAGACGAGAAGACCCUUUGGAGCUUAAGGUACAAGAUUUAAUUUACGGGGAGGCGAACCAAUAAAAGUGAUUAAACUAGUAAAAGAUAAACCUCUACCUUCGGUUGGGGCGACCACGGAGUAAAAAACAACCUCCAAGCGGAACGGGCACAGCCCUAAAACCAAGAGAAACAUCUCUAAGCCUCAGAACACCUGACCAAAGACGAUCCGGCCUAUAAGCCGAUCAACGAACCAAGUUACCCUAGGGAUAACAGCGCAAUCCUCUCUAAGAGUCCAUAUCGACGAGGGGGUUUACGGAGGGUCGAUGUUGGAUCAGGACAUCCUAAUGGGUGCAGCCGCUAUUAAGGGUUCGUUUGUUCAACGAUUAAUAGUCCUACGUGAAUCUGAGUUCAGA